rnacentral:lncRNA from 1 species
AAAUUUCUCAUUCAGUCCAUGGAUUUUUUUUAUAUUAAGCGGAGAUGGGUUAGAAGAAGGGAAGAAGAAUAGGAGGACAAGGUGGAAAAUGUGGUGAAGGCUUUGCAAUGAGUUGUCGACAAGUCAGUAAUGAUACAACGACAACUCAGUGAUAAUGUGGUGGUUGUUAGAGUUAGAGAAGGAGGUGGAGAAAGACGGAAAGGAAGACGAUGAGUUAGAGGUGGCUAUGGUGGUGUGAUGGCAACUAAAAUCCUGUGAAAAAGAGAGGAGGAGGAGGAGAAGAGGAAGAAAGUGAAAAAAGAAAGGUAAGAGCAAAGGAAGAGGAGGUGAAGAAGGAGACCAGCCACGUUUUUACUGAAAGAUUCUAUUGACGACAAUAAUUUAUCAAUUCUAUUGACGACAUGAAUUUAUCAAUAAUUACCGACUGAUAUUUAUCGACAUACACUUAUCAUUUGAGGCCAUAUAAUUUAAGAUUAAAGAUCAUUAGUCGAAAACUCAGAGGGAAAGUUAUUA